rnacentral:lncRNA from 1 species
AGAGCUCUAGCUCCGGAGCGCGCCAAGUUGAAGGCCAAAGUCGAGGUUGGGAUGCCCGAUGCCUGGCGCGGGGAGACGGAGGAAGCAAAGUGCUGCUGCCUGGUGGAAAUACAGUAUUAUAUAAUGACAUGCUACUAUGCAUCUCUACCUAACUCCUCGUCUGGUGAUGCCAUAUUGAAAUCAGCCAUACUGAGAGUAUUUACACACUGCUGAAGUCAGUAAAUGCUACAAAUCAAGGCUUGAAUGUAACCUACAUGAGAAAGAGUUGCCUUGCUCACUGCCGUAUCCCAGUAUCCCAAGAACCUUGGAGAUGCUCUAUGAAUACUGAAUGAAUCUGAGAGGAAACUAGCCCGAAGGGGGAAGGCUCUGGAAGCAAGCCCUCAUGGACCAACGGAGAAAAAGGAAACUGAAUCUUGGGGAGAUUAAGCAACUCUUUCAAGGUCAACCGGGGAGCGGCAGAACCAGAGUUCGAAGGAAACCUUUCUGAAUCUGACGUCUGCCCCUUCUAAAUUAGGACUCUCAUCUAUCAGCCUGUGAGAAAAAAUACAGAAAGCAUCAUUCAGGCAACACAUGAACUCAAGACACUGA